rnacentral:rRNA from 1 species
GAUGAACGCUGGCGGCGUGCCUAAUACAUGCAAGUCGAGCGAACAGACGAGGAGCUUGCUCCUCUGACGUUAGCGGCGGACGGGUGAGUAACACGUGGAUAACCUACCUAUAAGACUGGGAUAACUUCGGGAAACCGGAGCUAAUACCGGAUAAUAUAUUGAACCGCAUGGUUCAAUAGUGAAAGACGGUUUUGCUGUCACUUAUAGAUGGAUCCGCGCCGCAUUAGUUAGUUGGUAAGGUAACGGCUUACCAAGGCAACGAUGGGUAGCCGACCUGAGAGGGUGAUCGGCCACACUGGAACUGAGACACGGUCCAGACUCCUACGGGAGGCAGCAGUAGGGAAUCUUCCGCAAUGCGCUAAAUCCUGACGUAGCAACGCCUCGUGAGUGAUGAAGGUCUUCGGAUCGUAAAACUCUGUUAGUAGGGAAGAACAAAUGUUUAAGUAACUAUUCACGUCUUGACUGUACCUAAUCAGAAAGCCACGGCUAACUACGUG